rnacentral:rRNA from 1 species
CUGAGAGGGUGGACGGCCACAUUGGGACUGAGACACGGCCCAGACUCCUACGGGAGGCAGCAGUAGGGAAUAUUGCACAAUGGGGGAAACCCUGAUGCAGCGACGCCGCGUGAAGGAAGAAGUAUUUCGGUAUGUAAACUUCUAUCAGCAGGGAAGACAAUGACGUACCUGACUAAGAAGCCCCGGCUAACUACGUGCCAGCAGCCG